rnacentral:tRNA from 1 species
UCCUGGUGGCUCAGUUGGUAAAGAGUCUGCCUGUGAUGCAGGAGACCUGGGUUCGAUCCCUGGGUCGGGAA